UCGUGUAUUUCAUAAUUCUUCCCUUAAUUAAAACUCCUAUGUACUUACCCCCUAAUUGCCUACAUUGCACAAGAUGUUUACUUGAUUCCUUCCUUAAAUAGUUCUACUGUUUGAAUCUGAAUUCCUUAAUUAAAGGAUAUCUUGUAUAGAUUGAUUUUGAAUUGAUAUCUAAUCCCUUAAUUGUUUUCUUACCUUAUUCCUACCUGUUUUUCACACUAUAUAUAUCGAAUUUUUCAUUAAAACAAAAACCGCAUCACUCAUAGUCUUUCUGAACUUAUACUUACACUCAAAGUAUUCUCUCUUGUUGCUUGUACUGUGGCCUGUUUUGCAAGACAUACUGCCUACUAUUCUUUACUUGCUUCUUUGAAACUGGUUAUGUCCCGAUUUAAGGCUUCUAGCACCACAACAAUAUGUUUAUUUAUUGCUUUUUGUAUCUCUAUCUGCUUACUGCUUCUAUAUAGUUUAACUCUAGCAUAUUGAUUUCUUUCUACAUAUUCUAUUACGAAUCCCAAAACC
rnacentral:lncRNA from 1 species